rnacentral:tRNA from 1 species
GGGGGCAUAGCUCAGUGGUAGAGCGUCUGUUUUGCACUCAGAAGGUCUCCAGUUCAAUUCUGGUUGCCUCCA